rnacentral:rRNA from 1 species
UACAGGGGGGGCAAGCGUUGUUCGGAAUUACUGGGCGUAAAGGGUUCGUAGGUGGCCAACUAAGUCAGACGUGAAAUCCCUCAGCUUAACUGGGGAACUGCGUCUGAUACUGGAUGGCUUGAGUGCAGGAGAGGAAUGCGGAAUUCCAGGUGUAGCGGUGAAAUGCGUAGAUAUCUGGAGGAACACCGGUGGCGAAGGCGGCAUUCUGGACUGCAACUGACACUGAUGAACGAAAGCCAGGGGAGCAAACGGG